rnacentral:rRNA from 1 species
GAGGGAGAGAGCCCGCAAGGGUGAGUACACCGGCGAACGGGUGCGUAACACGUGGAUAAUCUACCUUCCUGACCGGAAUAACUGGCCGAAAGGCUUGAUAAUACCGGAUAAGACCACGGUGACUUCGGUCGCUGAGGGAAAAGGUGGCCUCUGUAAACAAGCUAUCACAGGGAGAUGAGUCCGCGGCCCAUCAGCUAGUUGGCGGGGUAAAAGCCCACCAAGGCAACGACGGGUAGCUGGUCUGAGAGGAUGAUCAGCCACACUGGAACUGAGACACGGUCCAGACUCCUACGGGAGGCAGCAGUGGGGAAUCUUGCGCAAUGGGCGAAAGCCUGACGCAGCAACGCCGCGUGUGUGAUGAAGGUCUUCGGAUCGUAAAGCACUGUCGCGAGGGAAGAUAUGCCUACGAAUAAUAAGCGUGGGUUAAGACGGUACCUCGAGAGGAAGCACCGGCUAACUCUGUG